AUGAUCAUACUGUCAACCACUGCUAGCUUCGACUCUUGCAGGCAGAUAAUUGCCGGGCUAUGCAACAGUACAACAUUUCUGACCACCCCACGACGGGCAGGGUUGUUAAGCCCUCGAACAUUCCAUGCUAAGAUAUUUGCGCUAAUCAUAAGAACUCAAUCGACAGAAAACAACAACAACAACAACAACAGAAACAGAGCAGCAUCAGGUACGCCGCCCCUUCCGGGCGUUCCUAACGGAGGCAGACUUGGCCAGAGCAGAGAGGGCAUCGAUUUGCCUAUCAGUCAGAGGCUUCUUGAAGGUAAGCUUGUACCUCUCGAGGGUCUCCUCCUCUUCUUCCUCUCCAGGCUCGGCAAUGGUGAGCCCUCUCUUUCCGACAAGGACUCGUCGGGCCAACCGCAGCGAAGUGUUGCCCCCUCCACUGAGGGCCUCCUUCCUUCCCUGCAGUCUGUAGCUACGCCUGGUCGCCGUUGCUGGUGGGCGUCGGGCGCGCCUUUGCUUGGUCAACGGCGGAGGGGAUCUGGGUCCAGCAAGAAGCGGCCCUGA
rnacentral:rRNA from 1 species